GGGGAUGACAGGCUUCGAUAGUCGGAGUCGUUAUCUAAAUGGGCAUAUCGAGCUUGCAUAUCUCGUAAAACUAGGCAAACUUUUACGUGCAAACGUAUUAAGCCGUGCAAAGAACGCACUUGCUCGCGCAUUUGCUGUUCCUUCAUUGGCUCCUGUUGUUGCUUAAAUUCAACAACCAUCACUCCCCUCAUACUCGAUAAGGGAAUCGUGGUGUAAAUCAUCGAGCGUAAAAAUAUGUUCCUUCCGCGUGCAUAUUUUGACAAUAUAGCGGAUAUACCUUUAGGAUAAUUUUUGCUGUUUUUAAUCUAAAGAUUAAAUCUCGUUUCGGCGAGACAAAAAUCAGCUAAUUAUGUAGAACAUUUAUUUAACCCGAUAUAGACCCGAGUUCAAUUCUCGGCAUCUCCACCA
rfam:Candidatus Magasanikbacteria bacterium RIFCSPHIGHO2_01_FTLL_33_34 rifcsphigho2_01_scaffold_38, whole genome shotgun sequence.